rnacentral:rRNA from 1 species
AUUGAACGCUGGCGGCAGGCUUAACACAUGCAAGUCGAGCGGAGUGAUGGUGCUUGCACUAUCACUUAGCGGCGGACGGGGGAGUAAUGCUUAGGAAUCUGCCUAUUAGUGGGGGACAACAUCUCGAAAGGGAUGCUAAUACCGCAUACGUCCUACGGGAGAAAGCAGGGGAUCACUUGUGACCUUGCGCUAAUAGAUGAGCCUAAGUCGGAUUAGCUAGUUGGUGGGGUAAAGGCCUACCAAGGCGACGAUCUGUAGCGGGUCUGAGAGGACGAUCCGGCACACUGGGACUGAGACACGGCCCAGACUCCUCCGGGAGGCAGCAGUGGGGAAUAUUGGACAAUGGGGGGAACCCUGAUCCAGCCAUGCCGCGUGUGUGAAGAAGGCCUUAUGGUUGUAAAGCACUUUAAGCGAGGAGGAGGCUCUUUUGGUUAAUACCCAAGAUGAGUGGACGUUACUCGCAGAAUAAGCACCGGCUAACUCUGUGCCAGCAGCCGCCGUAA